ACGGAUAAAACAAAUAAUUUGUUAGUCCACCUCGUUUACUUUAUUUACUAAUUACAUUUUACUAAUUAUCUUUAUAUAUAAUUAAUAAAUUUUAUUAUAUUGAUUCUCUAUGAAGUAAUUUUAUUUAUUAUAUUUGUCAAUAUACUACUGUAUUUAAUUAUAGUAUUAUAUUGGUACUUAUACCUAACAAAUUAUUCAUAGCAAUCAUUGGUUCAUAAAUUCUAGAUUAUAAUGAAAAGCUAUAAUCGAUUAUACAUUUUUUAUGUUAUAAGCAAAUAAUUUUUUAUUAUAGAAGAUUAAAUUACAUAACUGUAAAUGCCAAAACAUGGUAGAAAACUAAUAUAAUAUGUAUGUAUGAAUUGUAGAAGUGGUAAUACAAUUAUACGAAGUAUAAAAGCAAUUUAAAUUAAAGAUUCGUAAGGUAAUAGAAUUGUGGACGUAUCUAGGCACUUGGAGAAUCGUUCUAUCGCAUAUUCUAUUGGACUGAAUCUCAAUACUUCCGAUUGAAUUCGAAUAUAGAACGCCCUACUUCUCUAGGCUGGAUCGAGUGACAAGGAACAUCCUAUGAAAUUAGAAUCUUCGAGAUCGUUUUUAUUAUUCUAUACUUUGAAAGGAAAUUCUAGUUCAGCCUCGUAGCAUCACGAAUGAUUAAAUUUACUUAAAAUUAUGUUUACUAAAAACAGACAUCGUAUAAAAUUCUUAUAAAGAACAAUACCAAUAGAACCGACAAUAAACAAUUCUCAACAUUUUUCCAUUUUCAAUCGCCUCUAUGCAACGGCAAUUAAACGAAGUUGACUCACUGUUGGACCUUUAUUUGGUUUUAUAUCUUCUAUAAAAAUUAAUUCUGCAAAAUUAUCGCAAUCUUCGAGAUAACGCAACACGUUAAUAAUCCACGGAAACACAUCAUCAUCCUAUCGUUGUUAAAUUUACUCCGCAUGUUCUUCAAUCUCACUUAACAGCGUCCCAAUAACUCUCUCGCAAUUCAUCAACUCUCUACGAUCUCCACCAAUCUAUCAAGUGCACCUAAUCAAUCCUAACAAUCUCUCGUUUCGAUCAAUUCGAAAUGACAAUUUCCCCUCUAUUAUACCAUAUUCACAUAACGCAGUUGGAAUGCAACGAUGGAAACGAAAAUGUCACGAUCGGUGGACAACGUUAUUCAUGGCCACUUCUCUCCAAGAUGGAGGAGAGAAAACGUGUGCCAAUCCUUUCGGGAAAUAUGAUUCAUCGGGGAGUAUAGAUCCGGCGGAAGCUUGGCAAAAACAGUUGGUGAUUUAUUGAUCCGAGUUCAAUGUCUCGAAGAAACGAGAUUGGAAUUAGAACGAUACGAACGAUUUACUCACUGGCAAUUAUAUGUAAAUUUGUCGUGUCCAAGAAGAGGCACGACCGAAAUAAUUCACGAACUGUAGCAGAACGGACGCAACAACUUUCUUGCUGGCUUAAGUCGGGCUAACUUUGAGUCAUGUUGCUCGAAAUUCCAUCGGAGUUUUCUAUGCCAAGUGCAGCAGCCUAUACGAACACAUAAAUAUCGUCAGAAAAAAUAACGUCUGAUGCAUAAACCUGAAAGAAUCUCAGUAAUGAUUUGUUAAAAAUUUUACUAAUAAACCAAAAAUUACAAUUUAGCUACAAAGUUGUUCUCCUCGAUUCAUCAGACAUAUAAGUGGUAACUGGCAGUACAGGUCAGACAUUUGAUGAAACAAUUUUAUUACGAAGUUGAUUACCAUACUGCGGAUGCAAAUUGAUAUUUUUAUAAAUAAAACUACAGAAAUAGAAGCUAAAUAAUGGUUUGUUUUACCUUCCAAAACUUAUACAACGUAUAUCAUAUCAUCAUAUUUAGGACAUUUUACGUAUUUCUGCCCGUUUGGCUUAUUCUCUGAAUUUUCGUACCUUCAAAUUUCUUAUGGAUCCAUAAAAAUUCGUAGUCCAGUGAUUACUAUAGUUAGUAUUAUAAUAUGAAGAAAGAGAAAAAGCGGGAAAGGACUCAUUUGUUCUAUCGAUAUCUCCCCGAUUUCGUUUUUCUCGUACACGUGAAGAUGGUGUCGCGGAGAAUUAUGUCGUGGACACGAUAUGCGCGACGAAACGACGCAUAAUAAACGAGGCCGUUUAACACGGUGAACAUACUGGUUCGUCGUGAAUUAUUUCUGCCCAGCACGCGGUUGUUGAAAACACAGGAAAAACAGGAGAAACCGGGUGUGAAAAUUACGGACGACGCAAACUCUCCAGCCGCGAGUUCUAUAAAUAAUUCGACGCAUCUUCGUACCGCGAAAAUUCCCGUUAAUAUUUCAUCGUCCCUUGCGUGGGCCCUGGUUCUCGAAAGGUGGAACGUAUUAAGCUUCCUGUUUGGAAAAGGGAACUUCCGUUUAAUGCUUGUUCGAAUUGUUCUUUAUUUUAUGAGCCACGGUAUAAAGGAAAGUACACGAUAUAGGGGAGGAAAAACGGUACUUCAGACUAUAACAAUGGAGGACAAAACAAAGUUUCAAAUUGAUGCUUAUGUCCUGUGUAAAAUUGAUUCUUAUGUUUGAGUAGGUAUUAGCAACUUUUAUGCUUUACAUUUUUCACGAUUUUUUGUAACAGCCAUCUAUCUUGGAUUUUACAGGGAGGAUCUCUCUCUGCGUGCAAGGAGACAAGAGACGAUUAUUUGUGGGGAUAAAGCGAACCUGUGGAAUGAGACUUUGUCAGAAACUGAGUUUCGAGUGAUAAAAUAGUAUUACACGUUUUUAAUUCAUUUACGCACAAUUUACAUGACUUUAGUAGUUUCAAAGGGAUUUUUCUCAUUGCAUAGAUGCAAUUCAGUAAUUUCAAACGCACAAAUCAACCACCUUGUAUGUUCGUGAAGCGAUUCUCUAUUGACGCAGAUCCGGUGAAAACAGAUCGCUUGUCGGAAGAUUGCGUUCAUCGCUUCGAAAUUGUGAUGACGUGCUUGUGGAACUAUUCGUACGUCUUUCACCAUUAAGAUCAUUACAUCAUCAUCUGGAAUCUCAGAUACACAUCACUAUAUGGUCUAUUGAGAUCACCGAGACUUUAAACUGCCGAUUAAAUAGAUGAACUAAAAGUCGUCGUUUCCUACGGAUUUCGUAUUUUAUAUCUUUCUUUUUUCUUCUUGUGGACAAAAUUAAUGAAACUCAAGCUUGCAAUAAGAUACUCUAUAACACACUAAAUAUUUAUGAAAUACAUCUAAGAUAAAAAUAAAUGAAUAUAAAGUAGUUAAAAUGAAGUUAACCUUCAAUUGGCAUGGUGUGCGUUAAAUAGUUAAAAGAAAAUAAUAUACGUAAAAAGUGGAAAAAAAACAUAAAAUAUUGAGCAUCUUAUUUAGAAAAAAACACGGAACAUCUUCCAAAAAAUAUUGCACAAAAAAUCUAAUAAAGAAGAAUAUAAUUAUUAACACUUUCUUUUUAAAUCGUGACAAUUUUAUUCAACAUCUCCUUCCCCUCACAGCGAAUGCUUCACAAUUAAUUUCAAGCUGUCGCGUCGAGGCUAACCAAUUCACCCACCCUAAUAGAAUUUCCAUUUUCCCCAAAUUUACAUCUGUUACACCAUGGACCGUAUCGUUGGGAAUGAACCGAGGAUCGCAGGGUCGGGAAGUCGGUGGAAACCGAGUGGCAAACGUGUCUGUCGCACGAAAACACGACAAUGGGGGUGGAGCGUACGUAUCGAUCGUUACCUCUCGUCGUGAGUUCCAUCAGAAACGAUAAUGCUAAACUGCAGAUUCGCGUCGUUGGGUCGGCAACGCGUGCAAUAAAGGCCAACGUUAUCUGGCAGUAGCAUUGUUUACGGUUCGCUCGAGUUUCGACUAUGCUUCGCCGAUUUUUCUCUCUUUCUCUUCCGUACCGCCGCUUUUCCUCCACUCUUUUAUUUUCAACGACUCGAAACUCGCUCGAAACUGUCUGCUCGAAAAAAAAAACUCGACAACCCGUCGGAUAAUUGCGUUCAGAAAACGGAACGAGUCCGUAUUUGGCUUCCGGCCGAUCUUAUCGUUUCUGAUAUCCUCCUUCUGUCUUUUGUUACCGUCGCUUAUUAGCCGGAGACUCGAAUGAAAGCAGACGAAAUUCAAUUGGACGGUGUUUAUCGCAAAUAGUGGAAAUUGAAUUUUGUGGCUUGAUACGUUUUAGGGAUUACGUUGUGAAUUAUAACCGGGUUAAUCGAAGAGUUUCGAAAGAAAUGCAAGGAUAUUACGAUUUAUAUAGGUAACAUUGUUACUAAGAAUGUGAGAUGAUAUUAGAUGUGAAAUAUAGACACGAGAAAAUUAUUCUGUAAGCAGAGAAGGAAAUAAGUAAAAGAAUACUGGCAUGCCAUUUUUUCACGACCGAUAAGCCUUACAUCUGCAUCACGAAACAAUUAUUUUCCAAUAGCAAUGCGUUGUCCAUUGUUUCACAGUUUUUAA